rnacentral:rRNA from 1 species
UACGUAGGGUGCAAGCGUUGUCCGGAAUUAUUGGGCGUAAAGAGCUCGUAGGCGGUUUGUCGCGUCUGCUGUGAAAACUCGGGGCUUAACUCCGGGCCUGCAGUGGGUACGGGCAGACUAGAGUGCGGUAGGGGAGACUGGAAUUCCUGGUGUAGCGGUGAAAUGCGUAGAUAUCUGGAGGAACACCGGUGGCGAAGGCGGCAUCCUGGACCAAUUCUGACGCUGAUGAGCGAAAGCCAGGGGAGCAAACGGG